AUAAUCCACCUUACGAAGAAGUGUGCCAACGGGCUAAAGAAUAAUACUAGUGCGAACAAAGAAGUUGAAAGGCAAGACGUAUUCACCACAUGAGCUGCUGUUAAAAUAGCAAUAAGUUCGCCGUAUUUUGUUUUCUCGACCGCGCUUUGUUGUGUUUUGCACGACAGAUUGCAGAGGCAAAAUUGCACUUGAUUUUGUUCGUAUUUCUUUGCGUGUUUGCUAUCAGCUGGUGUGAAAUCGUCUCGCAAUAAUUUAUGUUCACAAUUUUUGAAAGAAAAUAAAGUUGGAUAACAAAUAUUAGAAGAAAAUUUGCUACUUGAUAAAACAAAGGCAUUCAAUCCAAAGCAAAUUGAAAUCAUGAACAUAGCGGGCGUACCAGCACUUGUUCGUUCGGAGUGGGAGAAGUGGUACCGGGCCUUUUAUCUAUACCUGGAAGCCGAGGACAUCAAAGAUCCUAUUAAAAGAUAGAAUAAACUGUUGCAUUUAGGAGGGAUGCAGCUUCAAGAGGUUAUCUACAAUAUACCUGGCGCGCUCAUAGAACCUGAAGAGAAGAAAGAUGUGUUUAGUAUUUAGUAGAAAAAUUGCAGCAAUAUUUCUCUCCUAAAAGGAACUCCA